rnacentral:lncRNA from 1 species
UUGCACUAACCGUGCGUGAUCAACUAUAUUUGUCGUGUUUCAGCCAUCAUAAACACACUCAAACUCUCAAAUUGGUACUCAUAUUCACAAACAUAUACUAGUAGUUAACAUGAAAGUAGUUCUUGUCACACCUAAACAGGUUCAGGUCCACACAUAUAUUACAAGUAUUCAACGCCACAUACACGCCACCACUAUAUACUACAGCAAAGGGGGAUGCAGUCAUAACAUAGCACGUGGACAUAGUUUCAAAGAACAAGGUGAUACCUUACAUUCCUCAGCCACAGAAUGUAAGGUAGUCAUGUGUAUGAAGAAUCACGUGAUCACUUGUACUUCUUGUUUGUGGAUUUGACCGCUCCAUCUAUAAAUUCUCAUGCUGAAGCCUGCUUGUUGAAAUCUUCAUUCAUCAACCAGUUCCAUGUGUAUAUUUUACGGAGCUCGACAACCAUUGCAGCUGUGAUCACUGGGACCCGUCGACCUUCCCACUUUGCAAGGUAUGCCAACAUGUAAAACCCCCAAUCAUGCCUAGAACGAAGCAAAACAUGUGAACACAUGCAAACAGAAACAUAAUAAACAUUGAUGAAGAGAAGAAAAGAUGAAAAAGAUAGUAAUUACCCGUUUUCUUGCUUCUCGGUUGUGACGUACUCGAUUGGAAAGUGACUACACUAGACCUUUGAGUUUUCGUAAUGAUGGUUCCAGGUCUGUUUCAACUUGUUGAUAAAGAAUUCAGCAUGAGUAGUAAGGUCUUCAUCAGCUCCUGAACGGGUUGAAUAAAGCACCUCAAAACAUUGGUUCUUCAGGUCAAGGGAAAUGGUGUAGUGGUGACCACACUUGUCAUCUGGGUCUUCUGGUGCAAGCUCCUGGAACAUGGGGAACAUGACCUGCAAGUAAAAAAAGGGUCAAUAAAAAAAAGAGUUCACAUCUAAAACAGAAUGAUGUAGUUGGAAAAAUGAUAUUUAUAUAUAUAUUGCCUCAUGCAGUAAGAGAUGCAUGAAAAGGCAACCAUUAAAAUGGCCAGUGCACGCAUGGAAAAAGGUUCAUUUGCCAUGUGUAAUUAUAAGAAAUUGCCAUCCAUGGGAAAACAAAGUUGCCCAAUAUUUUAAGUGAAAUUGCCACAUAAGUUGAAUUAAAAAGUUCACACUAAUUUUAUAUGGCAGCUGUUGCCACAUGAAACAUCUGUCAUGAAGAGUACGUAACCCACAUAUGAAGUAUAACUGCUGACAAAACAUAGCAUGGAAAAGGAUGUACAACAAAAAGAAACACUCACGUAUUUCUUCAAUGUGAGCUUAAAAUCACCACGCGCGGCAAAAUGCCUCCUCGGGAUUUUAUGGUGGAAGUCACCAUCCCAUAUUUUGCAGGUCAUAUUGUACUGCAUGAUCGUGUUGUCGGGACAAAUGUCCACAUGCUUGUUGAUGAAGUCAAUCCCACAUGCAAAUACAUUCUUCGACAUUUUACCAGUAGGCCUCACAGACUCAGCAAGAUCGCCCAGGUCGAUGUAUGUCGCUUCGCAUUGUAUGAUUUUGGUUCUGUCCAAACAUGAGCUGUAUGAAAAUGAUAUAACAUGAAAGAAUCACGUCUACUAAAAAAAUUAAAAAAUAAACAAUGCAUGGCCAAAAGAACAAAAAAGCAAGUAAGCGGUUGUGUGGUGUGGACAUUACGCUUUCAGCUCCUUCAUGUGCUUGUUGUUCGACCUCGCAUUUCCGAAAUGCUUGACAAUAUCAUAUAGUUGGGUCUGAUCUUUUGUAGCCUUAACAUCGGGCUCAAAGUCAUCCACUGGUGGUGCAUGAACUACCCUCGUCUGCUUCGCAGAUCCAGGGGUUGCGCUUCUGAUGGUAUCCUCAGAUACUGCCUCAGCAGGCACAUCAUAACUUGUUUUGCCCUGAUUCCAUGAGGACCUGCUGUUUAAUGCUUCCUGCUCAACCCUACGGUAAGCUUCAUCAAGGGAUGACGAAAUCUCCUCAAGGGUGGCUAGUAGAAUAAAAUAGUGGCAUAAGAGACUUGGACAUAGCAAAUUGUUGUGCAGGAAGUUCAAAAUGUGAAGUGAAAGUGCUGGUAAGAAAGUAUCAAUGUCAACUGUUAGUUAGUAAACAAUGUUUGCCGUGUGGAAAGUACAAUGCAGUUGCCAUGCGCAGGGCACCUCAUCUGCCAUAAGACAACAACUGCAGUUGCCAAAAUGUGUAGUGCACUGCAAUUGCCACAUGGCAACAAUUGCAUUUGCCAUGUGUAGUGCAUGCAUCUGCCAUAUGGCAACAACUGCAGUUGCCAUCCGCAAUGCACUGCACUUGCCACAUGGCAACAACUGCACUUGCCAUGUGUCAGCAACUACAGUAGCCAUGUGCAAAUGCACUAUAAUUGCCCUGUACAAUCAACUUGAGUUGGCAUGUGGCAGCAACUACAGUUGCCAUGUGCAACUAACUACAGUCACCAUGCAUCAACCUCUACAGAAACAAAUGGUUGGCAUCUAGUAAAAAUAAAAAAUCAGUUGCCAUGUUUAUAUGAACAGCAACUGCCAAAUUAGGUAACCUAAAAUGACAACUACAUGUGCAUCCCAUGAGAUUUUCCAUCACAAUUGAGAACACAAAAAGUUUACCUUGCACUAUGGGAUCUGCAAACUUGACGGCCUUCUGCCAUCAGCCAGUGGCUGCGCCAUCAUUGGGACCAUGCCUGUCGGGAAAGAAAAGGCAACAGGCAUAGGAUCAUGCACUGGUACAUCCUGAGUGUGAUCAAUGCCAUGACUAAAGCUCGGUGGGGUGAAAUCCAUGGGGUGCCUCUCCUUCCUACCAGAUGGAUUGCGGACAAAUUGAUUGGCUGAAUCUAGAGGUGAUAGAACAACAAACAUGUCUGCCUCGUCUGCUGAAGGAUCAUCAGGCUUGUUAGUAGGUCGGGGCGUGCUAUUAGCGAUCUCAAUCACAACUUCCUUGCUUAUCUUCCUGUUUGGGCUGUAGGGGACACCAAUGUUGACAGGGAGCUUGGAAGUGUGCAGAUUUAAGCUGGUGUUCUCCAUGGUGGCAAAAGAUCCAGUCUGCUCUGAACGUCCACCUCCUUCAGUAGUGCACGGCUUACCGGCUGCAUCUGUUGUACUGGAACUUCCGUCUUCUCGGCUACAUUGCUUUUGGCAGAAGGUGGGAACAGUGUGGAAGCAGGCACGUAACCAAAGUCACCUCUGCUGCCCUUAACCACCUCUGGUUCAUUGGAUACCUGUGUAGGAUUCUUACGGGGGCUAUGCCGCCUAGGUGGCAGGCCAGCUCGCACAACGGUUGCAAUAGCAGACUCUGGGCCACCAGCCAUUGUGACAUGAGAGUCAACUGUGGAUGGCAUUUCAUUCUGAAAUGUGGCUGCAUCCCCUUCUUGUCAGAUGAGCGGGAAUCUUCCUUGUUUAGGUUGACCUCGGGAGCAUCCACUUCAACACUUGCUGAUCGGGUGGCAUGGGUGACAACAGCAUCUCUCAUUUCCACCAGGGUAGGCAAUAUCUCAGCAGUCCUGGCAGAUACGGACUCAUCACUCCCAGAUGUACGGAUGCCUGCUCUUGUAGUCUGCACAUCUACAACCGGUGGAGAUGCGCGGCCCCUUGCAUCAGAGCUAGCAGAAACAGUGGACGGUGCAGCAGCAGAUUGGUCAACCGGUGGCUCAUGAAUAUCUGCAUUAUCGGAUGUCGACAACUUGGAGUGAAUGCGUUCAAGUGGGUCUUUGGUAGUACGACUGGUCAAGCGUGUAGUAGUCUUCUUCACCCUGCAAAAUAGAAUGUGUCGAGUGAUAAACGGCCAUUCAAGAAAACGCCAGAAGAGAACAAAAAGGUGAGCGCUAGGAACAAAAAUAGAUUGCCAUGGUAGUCAUCAUAAAAAUGAAACAUGAGUGUUAUGCUAGAGCUGCCAUUUGAAAACAAGGUAAGGAUGAACACAAAUGAAGUGCAAGUGGUUGAAGUAAGUGGAAGCUAACAGUUGCCAUAUGAGUGGACAAGAUUUGCCAUGUGGUCUAGUAAGCAGUUGCCAUGCAGAAGAAGCAGGAGUUGCCAUCAAACAAAUUUAGAUCAUAAAACAAUAGUUGCCAUGUGGGACAGACAUGAUUAGCCAUGUGUCAAGUUAGACAGUUUCCAUGAGAGGCAGAUAGUAGUUGCCACAAAAAAUGGGUCAAGUAAAAAGUUGUAUAUGAUUUAGAAUGCAUCAAACAAAAUUAGCAUCAGGACAAUACAUGACUUGGCAAGCUCAUCGCGUGCAAUUGCCACGAAAAGAGUUCAAAGAGAAUGCAUUUCCAUAUGGCGACGUAAUGAAGAUAGCUCAAUCACAAAAAAAAGUAGAUAACAGACAGGGAGAACCCACUUCUUGGUUGUCUUCCUCAAGUCUUCCAGCACGACAGGAUCCCCGGUGUUGGACGUCGAUGUGCGAGGAGACACCUAGUGGAGGUGGUGGUUGAGGGAGUCCCAGAUUAAGAGGUCCUCGGACAGCCGGACUGUUGGACUAUGAAGAUACAAGAUUGAAGACUUCGUCCCGUGUCCGGAUGGGACUCUCCUUUGCAUGGAAGACAAGCUUGGCGAUUCGGAUAUGAAGAUUCCUUUCCCUGUAACUGACUCUGUGUAACCCUAGCCCCCUCUGGUGUCCAUAUAAACUGGAGGGUUUAGUCCGUAGGACAACAACAAUCAUAACCAUAGGCUAGCUUCUAGUGUUUAGCCUCUUCGAUCUCGUGGUAGAUCAACUCUUGUAAUACUCAUAUCAUCAAGAUCAAUCAAGUAGGAAGUAGGGUAUUACCUCCAUCGAGAGGGCCCGAACCUGGGUAAAAAUUGUCCCCUGCCACCUGUUACCAUUAGCCUUAGACGUAUAGUUCGGGACCCCCACCCGAGAUCCGUCGGUUUUGACACCGACAUUGGUGCUUUCAUUGAGAGUUCCACUAUGUCAUCACCAUAAGGCUUGGUGGCUCCUUCAAUCAUCAACAAAACCGUCCAGGGUGAAGUUUUUCUCCCUGGACAGAUCUUCAUAUUCGGCGGCUUCGCACUAUGGGCAAACCCGCUUGGCCAUCUGGAGCAGAUUGACAGCUAUGCCCCUAGCCGUCAGGUCAGGUUUGGAAGCUUGAACUACACCGCCGACAUCCACGGAGACUUGAUCUUCGACGGAUUCAAGCCUACGACAGCCGCGCCCCGCCGCCGCGAUGAACAUGACCUAAAUCUAUCAUCAGAUGGUGUGCGGGAGAUUGCACCUAUAACCGCACUGGCCCUAGAUCUAGAGCAGACCGCGCCAUCCGAGGACGGGAGGCUCAACCCCGCCACGGAAGCCGUGGACCCAACGGUGCUAGAGCCAAACACAGAUUUGACCUCCAACGAGGUCUAUGUCAUUGGAACCUUGGACUCGUCUCCGGUCAUAGGCUCCGAACCGCGUGUAUCCACACCCAUUGAAUCUGACUGGGCACCGAUCUUAGAGCUCAGCUUCGCGAACAUCUUCCAACACUCACCCUUAGGCGAUGUGUUAAACUCACUAAAGUCCCUCUCCUUGUCAGGAGAUUCUUGGCCGAACUAUGUCCGGCUCGAGUGGGAAGCGGACGACGAAGGACUUCAUUGCCCACCCACCACCCACUUGAUAGCCACUAUAGAUGAUUUAACCGACAUGCUUGAUUUCGACUCCGAAGACAUCGACGGUAUGGACGACAAUGCCGGAGAAGAACAGGAACCAGCGCCCAUAGGGUGCUGGACAGCCACCUCCUCAUACGAUAUUUACAUGGUGGAUACACCCAAAGAAGACAACGGUGAUGACAAAAAGGACCAAACCCCUAGAAAGCAGCCAAAGCGCUGACGUCAGCGGCGCCGCUCGAAACCACGCCAUGGUAAAAAUAGUGAUAUCAGCACAAGAGGGAAUAACAUCCCGGAUGAUGCUGAAGACAAUAAAGAAACCGCAGACCCAGCAACGGAGCUAGAUGAGCAAGGUGAUGGCAAGCACAAUACAGGGCCCCUGUCGGAUCACAGCGAUGCUGAAGACUCCAAUUACCAACCUGUCUCCGAAGAGGAGAGCAGUCGGGGUGACGAUGCAUUCAUCGUCCCGGAAGAACAAUUGGAAUAGGAGCACCUCCACCAGAGACUCAUUGCCACCGCGAGGAGCUUGAAAAAGCAGAAGCAACGGCUUAAAGCUGCACAGGAUAUGCUCAAUGAUAAAUGGAACGAAGUGCUCGACACUGAGGAAAAAUACGGUGGUAAUCGCCAAACAAAUAGCUACCCCAAACGCAAACUGAUGCACGAAUUUGACGACGAUGCUAUCACACCCAUACCGCCGAACAACAAUACGGUCGAUCAGCCAGGCUGACCACCCCAUAAUCGAGGCAGAGCGGCCAAUAACACCGCACACAAAACCACACCCCCUACCCAUAAAGGAAAGGAGGUCGUAGCCCAGAACAAGAAACACGAUUUACGUGAAGACCUAGACAAAAGAGUUGGCAGAACCAGGUCCAUUUAUGGAUCCAGGGAACGCAUUCCCGCACAAGAUCAGGGCCAUCAAACCAAAUAUGCAGGUAACUUACCAGUUCAGAACCAACACCGAACACUGCAACCGUCGGGCCCGUGCCGCGACACGGCCAAAUACAGGGGUGCAGCACACCCCUUGUGCUUCACUGAUGAGGUGCUGGAUCAUGAAUUUCCAGAAGGGUUUACACCCAUGAGCAUCCAGGCAUACGACAGAACGACAGACCCUGCGGUCUGGAUAGAAGACUUUAUUCUUCACAUCCAUAUGGCUCGCGGAGACGAUCUCCACGCCAUCAAAUACCUACCCCUCAAGCUAAAAGGACCAGCUCGGCACUGGCUGAAAAGCCUCCCCGAAAACUCCAUUGGAAGCUGGGAAGAACUUGAGGACGCUUUCAGGGCCAAUUUUCAAAGGACCUAUGUCCGACCUCCGGAUGCAGACAAUCUAAGUCACAUAACCCAACAACCCGGAGGGUCAGCCCGUAAGCUUUGGAACUGGUUUCUCACCAAAAAGAACCAAAUCAUUGAUUGUCCGGAUGCCAAAGCCUUAGCAGCUUUUAAACACAGUGUUCGGGACGAAUGGCUGGCCAGAGACCUAGGCCGGGAAAAGCCAAGGACAAUGGAAGCCCUAACUACACUCAUGACCCGCUUUUGCGCAAGAGAGGACAUGGUUGGCCCGUAGAAGCACCAGCGACCCUGGCACAUCCGAAGUCAGAGACGGCAAUGGAAAUCCACAACAAAAUAAAAACAAACGUCGGAACAACAGAGAAAGCCCGGACAAUACAGCGGUAAAUGUCAGAUUCAGGGGCUCCAGACCCGGUCAACGUCACUUAAAGGCAGCAGAGAUGGUCCGUCUAGUCUUGAUAAAAUUCUCGAAAGGUCCUGCCAAAUUCAUGGCACCCCAGACAAACCAGCUAAUCAUACCAACAGAGAGUGUUGGGUCUUCAAGCAGGCUGGCAAGCUCAACACUGAACACAAGGGGAAGGGACCACAAAGCGAAGACGAGGACGAAUCUCGCUAGCCAAAUAUGGGGGGACAAAAGAAAUUUCCACUGGACGUCAAAUGGUGAACAUGAUUUAUGUCACUCAUAUCCCAAAGGGGGAGCACAAACACGCACUCCCGGACGUAUAUGCUAUAGAGCCUGUCGCCCCCAAAUUCAACUCAUGGUCGGCAUGUUCGAUCACUUUCGAUCGCAGGGAUCAUCCAACUAGUAUCCGUCACGGGGGCUCGGCUGCCUUAGUGCUUGACCCAAUAAUCAACGGAUACCACUUCACCCGAGUCAUCAUGGACGGCGGAAGUAGCCUCAAUAUGAUAUAUCAGGACACUGUCCGCAAGAUGGGGAUAGACCCGUCAAGAAUCAAGCAAAGCAGCACUACCUUUAAAGGAGUAAUACCAGGUGUAGAGGCCCGCCGCACGGCCACCCUAACACUGGACGUCGUGUUCGGCUCCCCCGACAACUUUCGAAGCGAGGAGCUAAUCUUUGACAUUGCUCCAUUCCGAAGUGGCUAUCACGCACUACUCGGACGAACAGCCUUCGCCCGUUUCAACGCAGUUCCACACUAUGCUUAUCUUAAGCUCAAGAUGCCUGGACCACGUGGCGUUAUCACGGUGAGCGGAAGCACCGAGCGUUCUCUUCGUAUAGAAGAAUACGUGGCGGCUCUAGUAGCCGAAGCACGAAGUGGCCCUUUUAGGCCGAACAGCUCAUCGGUCCUCAAGACCGCAGACACAGCCAAACGUGUUUGGUGUACACCUACGUGUAAAAGCUCAGAUAAACCUGCGCUUGUUUGGCAGCCCUGCCCCCAUAGAUCGCCCCAUAAGAAGACUAUAUACAUUUUCCUAUAUACAUAAAUACACACUCAAAAUUCCUUGGGUAGCACUGGGGGCACCCUGCACGUAAUAAGUCCAUAGUUCGGCUCGACCCUAUUUGGACUCAAGAAGCUACAGUUCACGGUUCAUCGAAACCAACAAAUUAUAUCCGCGGCCGUACCAGAUUGUUUUCAUCUGGUUUUUUCUUUUUACAGAUAGGCCAUCAUGAUAUACCCUUCAAGGACACGGCACAAUGGAGAUAAAGGCGCAGACGUGCAGUAGGGCCCCGUUUCAAGGUUUCUCUUUAGAUUAAGACCCUGUGUAAACCUUCUUUCUUAUUUUCAUCUCUUGUCGUUAUAUACCCUCUUGGCAUAUAAAAUGCCCUGGAUAUGGGCAGUACUUGCAAACUUACAAUUUGCCAUACUAAAAUGGAUGUGAUGGAAGCAGCCAAGCAGUGUACUUUGAGAACUAUAUUCUCACCACAGGCGCUCUCUCCUCACGCCGGGUCGUAGCACGUGCCUUGAAUUUAUACCGGGGGCUGUACCCAGCCGGUACAUACUAAAAAGUCCGAACACCUUCGGGAGUGUUCGGCGUUGCGAGUUUUGGCCUUAUAUGCAUCAGCUCCGAAUCAUGUCUUGGGUCAAUAGUUGGGUUUGCCUGGCUCCUGUGCUUGCUACUUUACGUUCCGUUCCAUCGGCUAAGGCGGCCAAAGGAGAACUACUGCAAUUGUGCCCUGGUUCAUCUGGAUGAGCACCACAGUAGAGAAAGCGGAAAAAUGACUGUCAUGGUAAGGCGAGAGCUGGUCAACCACUCGAUGACUCAGCGGAAUCUUCGCGAUUCCUCCGCAUUAACGAAGGAUCGGCUUCCUGGUCAUGUAUGUAAACGCAUCGUAUUCGGAUAAACACGGACAUACCAGGGGCUAUAUAGUAGCCCCACCGUCAAACUCCUAUGGCUAAGUGAAAGUGUCAAAGCUCUAUAGUCCGAUUGCCUAGUUCAACACACUAACACCUCCUCAAAUGGACCAAGACGUUGGGUCAAGUGUGAUCAAAUGCUUUUCCAAACACCCUCGAGUUAUACGCGAGGGGGCUGAAGCCGACGACUGCAAACUUUCAGGUUACAUACAUAUAUACACAUACGGCCUCACAGGAGGCACUAAAAUACUUUACGGGCAAAAGUAUAAACACAACCUUCAUUAUCAUAAGCAUUGCUUUUACAAUUCGGAUACAUGUUACUCGAACAUAACAUUCUUCGAGCACUAACCCUCUAGCAAGCGGGCACCCUCUAGUACUUCUUCAAAAUAAUUUUUUGGCGUGUCCUUACCCCUGGGCGAACCCCCCGUUGCAAUAUCGGUGGCCUUCAUCUUCGCCCAAUACAUCUUCACACGGGCAAGGGCCAUCUAUGCACCUUCUAUGCACGUUGAUCGCUUGACAGCGUCGAUAUGCGACACCGCACAAACAAGUUGCUGCACUAAACCAAAAAAAACUGUUCGCAGUUGCUCCCCCAGGCCACAGCCGGUCCAUGAUAGCCUUCAUGGCAAGUUCGGAUAUCCUAUGGAGCUCGGCCCAUUCGGCCAUCUGCAGCAGCGGACACCUUGGCAUGCUAAACUGCGACCAGAAAAGUCAUUCCGCUUCAUGGCCUUCUUGGGCCUGGAAAAACUGCGUCGCAUUAGAGGCACUCUUCGACGAGUCCAAAUAUGCAUCCGGAGAGCUCCACAUUUGAUCAAGCGGGGAAUACUUCGGAUCGCCGGACUUAGUUCGCAAUAAAAAGGGCUUCACAGCUGUGAUCUCCCUGGCUUGUCGGAUCUCCUCCCGUGUCGCCCUGGCCUCUGACCGGGUUUCCUUUGCCGCUUGUAAGGCCUUCUCAAGGUCAGCCACUUUUUCUUUGGUCUCUUUCUCGAGAAGAGCAUAUUUGUUAGCAGCGUCCCUUAGCUCAAGCACCAUGUUGGAUAUUUUCUCCUCACUCAGGUGAUGAGCAGCCUGUUCGGCCUUUAAUUCACCAACUGCCUUCUCGGCAGCCACAUUGCUUAUCCUGGCCUGCUCCUUGGCUCGGGCAAGCUCAGCCCGAAGGGUCUCCACGGCGGCAGCUCCAUCUGCAGUCAAGCACACUAUAAAUUCCAGCAUCAUGCUCUAAUAUAUACGCACUAACCGCCCAAAAUACGUACCUUGCGUCUCAUCAAGCCGCUUGUUCACGAGCGUGAUGCCAUCAUCUGCCACAUCAAGUUGUCGCUUCAGUUCGGCAAAUUGAGCAGCCCGGGCAGUGUCUGGGGCUGCAGCCGCCUGUGUACAAAUUAGAAAAAUUAUUACCUAAGCAUAUUCGUUUGAUCCUCUGGUCGUCCCAUUCGGAAGACAACCAGAGUCUCAGGGGCUACUAUCUACACACAGUGCACAUUGCGUUUACGACACAAAAAAGGGCUAAAUUACGUACCUCAAAGCCUCUCAGCAGGCUCGUAAAGGCUUCAUUCAAUCCGCUUUUUGCAGAUGAAAUUCUUUCAAUCACCAUGCCCAUUAAGGUACGAUGUUCCUCUAAGAUAGGCGCUCGCUGCAGAAGACCUGUCCAUAUGCCCAGUUGUACAUCAGACAAUCCGGGACUUUUAUUGUCAGUCUCUCUAGGAGCCGAACACCCCGGACCUCGGGCAGCCGAAGAGUCAUUUCCGGCCUGGCGCUCCUUCGCGGGUCGGGAGAGGUCCUCCGGGAUGACACCUCGAGGUCGUCCGCCUUAUGGGGCGGGGAAGUAUGGGGCCGCGUUUCCCUCUCCAUCAUCUCCGGAAGAAGAUCCCCCGAAGACGAAGAUUGUUGAGGGAGGCUAUAGGCUGGACUGCAAAACAUAUGUUGCAAAAUGUUGCCCUCACAAACGGGAAAAGAACGGGGUAUGCUUAUGAAACACCUUUGUUCACUUACGGUUCGGCUAGAGGUUGGUCCCCUUGUGGGCACUGUUCGACAAUAUCGCCUCCCGAACUCGGGCCCCCUGAUAGGGAUCUCCUCCCUUGUUUGGAGGCCUCUACCUCCAGGUCUUCUGGAGCGGCUCUUUUCUUCCCGUGGGGAGAGGGAGGUUAGAUUCUCCUCCCCGUUCACCCUCUGGCACGGGAGUUACGACUUCCUCGGAUAUGGUGUGUGAUGCACCUCCGGUAUGAAGGCCGCUUUGGGCCUCUCCACUCCUCUCCUUUCCUUCCCUCAACGGCACUUGAUAUGGUGCCAGAGCCAGCACCCUGGUUAACAUUGGGUCCGCUGAGUUUUCGGGAAGAGGGGCUGAACACCUGAUCCUCUCCGCCUUCCUCACCUAGCCCUGGCAGAGUAUGGUUUUCUCAUUUUCUAAUGAGAAACUUAAAACUAAAAACGUGUUCGGAAAUAGAGUACUUACUGGGGAAUCCAGAUGGUUGCAGUCGAGGCCUGCGUCCUCUGUGGUGUCCGGACACCUUUUUCGUGAUCCGAAGACUAAUUCAUACAUCCCUUCGAGUGUUGUGCCGAAGAAGCACUGAAUAGUUCGCGGUCCUUCCGGAUUGAAUUCCCACAUACGGAGAGGUUGGCGCUGGCAUGGCAGGACCCGACGGACUAGCAUAACUUGAAUCACCUUGACAAGGUCAAUGUCCUUCUUAAUAAGGUCUCGAAUGCGGCUUUGCAGUAUUUGAACUUCAUCUAGCGAUCCCCAGUCCAUCCCCUUAUUGACCCAUGAUGCAAGCAGUGGCAGAGGGCCAGAUCGGAAGGCGGGUGAAGCCACCCAAUUAUUGUCGUGAGGCUCCGUGAUAUAAAGCCACUCCCGUUGCCAUAGGCCAGAAGUUGUGGUGAAGGAACCCUUUGGCCAGACGACAUCGGCCGAUUUGCUUAUCAGGGCACCUCCGCACUCUGCGGGUCUUCCGUAUAUUAUCAUCGGCCUUAUAUCAAAGUUAUUGAGCCACAAGCCAAAGUGUGGAGGGAUACGGAGGAAAGCCUCACAUACGAUAAUAAAUCAUGAGAUGUGAAGGAGUGAGUCCAGGGCUAGAUCAUCGAAAUCUAUUCCGUAUUAAAACAUGAGCCCUCGAACGAAAGGAUUGAGGAAGAAACCUAGCCCUCGAAGGAAGUGAGGGAUAAAUACGACCCACUCAUUUGGCCUAGGAGUAGGGACAACUUGCCCUGGUGCAGGAAGCCUGUGAAGGAUUUCCGCGGUCAGGUACUGAGGGAGUCCCGGAUUAGGGGGUGUCCGGAUAGCCGAACUAUCACCUUUGGCCGGACUCCUGGACUAUGAAGAUACAAGAUUGAAGACUUUGUCCCGUGUCCGGAUGGGACUUUCCUUGGCGUGGAAGGCAACCUUGGUGAUACAGAUAUGUAGAUCUCCUACCAUUGUAACCGACUCUGUGUAACCCUAACCCUCUUCGGUGCCUAUAUAAACCGGAGGGUUUUAGUCCGUAGGAUGAACAACAAUCAUACCAUAGGCUAGCUUCUAGGGUUUAGCCUCUCUGAUCUCGUGGUAGAUCUACUCUUGUACUACCCAUAUCAUCAAUAUCAAUCAAGCAGGAGUAGGGUUUUACCUCCAUCGAGAGGGCCCGAACCUGGGUAAAAACAUCGUGUCCCUUGUCUCCUGUCACCAUCCGCCUAGACGCACAGUUCGGGACCCCCUACCCGAGAUCCGCCGGUUUUGACACCGACAUUGGUGCUUUCAUUGAGAGUUCCUCUGUGUCGUCGCCAUCAGGAAGGAUGCCGCAUCCCGUCUUUAAAGACGGCACUGUUGCUAAAGGAGCUUUGGCUAUCGGCCAAACUCUCCGGCUAGGUGGUUUCCUUAUGACCGCCAGUCCAGCCGCCGCGCCGACGAUGACUUCUCGGGUCAUCGAAAGCAAUCUUCACGUUAGCUCAGAACUCGCCGAGCAGUUAGAUCCGAUGGAUCUCUCUUCCUUAAACGAGCUCUUGGAUCGCAUCGCCGCCCUGGGAGUCGCUACAGACUACGAUCAGAUUGGGCCUAAACCUGAUCUGAGAGAGAUUAACUCUCCCCAGGUUACCCACCACGUUGCUGUGGUAGAGGAACAAUACGACGACCCUUAUUCUAUCUUAAGGACUAGCUAUGUCCGGAUUCCUGAUCCCUCCAUGCCGGAUUCCGGCGGAGGGGAGGAUGUUACUCAAGCCCUGAACCUAAAGUCAGGCAGCAGGCUAGAUUCAUUGGACAACAUCCAAGAAUCCAAGCUUCCAAGUUCGGAAACUACCUGGCCCCUUAGUCUUAAAGUGGAUGGGGUUCCGAAUUUCAUUCCACCCGCCCACCCAAACAUAAGCGAUCUAUCCCAAAUACGGCAAGAGCCCGCAGAAACAGUACACCAUUACUGGGCCAGAUUCCUCCUAGUUAUGAAUAGGAUAAAGGACUAUCGCGAGGAGGACGCAAUUUCAUUCUUCUGCAAUAAUUGCACGGACAAGGGAAUCCUCAACACCAUAAGUUGUCGUGAAAUUACAUGCUUCGCUGACUUGGCGUCCAUAGUACGAAAGUCUGUGUGAUGGAAAGCGCCUGGAAAACCGAAAUCAAAUUUUGGGACAAUCCGGCCCUGAAUACAACCCCAGUCCGAAAUAAAAGGGUGCAUUAUCGCUAGGUACCUGGGUUAAACACCAAAAAGCAAAAACCCUCUAUAGGGCAUGGAACCAUACUGGAAGGAUGGCUCAAUGGACCCUGCAAAAUUCAUAGUACAAAGGGUGCCACUCCAACUCAUAGCCUUAGAGCAUGUUGGAUACUACGGCAGGUGGCCAAAAGUGACGAAGAGCUUCUAACUCCAGAGCACCAGCUCAAGGAUACCAGUACGGUAUUAACAGUCUUCGAGACUUUCGCAUCAAAUAAUAUGCGGAAACGAACACUCCGCAGCCUUGACGAAGUCUACCAAGUAGCAACAAUAAACCCAUGGAGUGACACAGCUAUUACCUUUAAUGCCAGUGACGAACCUAAAUUCCGAACAGCCCGAGCACCAGCUGCAUUGGUCCUCAGUCCAAUAGUGGAUGGCUUUUGCCUUACCAAGGUACUCAUGGACGGUGGCAGCAGAUUGAACCUCAUUUACGAGGAAACCCUCAGAAAAAUGGAAAUAGACUGGAGCCGCAUUGAGCGAAGCAGCACAACCUUUAGAGGAAUAAUCCCCAGUCGGGAAGGCUGCUGUACUGGAAAAAUCACACUGGAUGUGGUGUUCGGCACACCGGAUAAUUACAGGUCCGAGGAGGUCACAUUCCAAGUGGCCCCGUUCAGCAGCGGGUAUCACGCUCUAUUAGGGCAAGAGGCAUUCACAAUUUUUCAAGCUAUACCCCAUUACGGGUACAUGAAGCUCAAAAUGCCUGGGCCCAGUGGAAUCAUCACUCAUGCUAGUGACCUGGACAUAGCACUCCGCGCCGAAAACAAGACAGCCGCACUGGCCCUUGAGGCACUAUCCGAAGCCCUAGCAGCCGAGGAACUCUCUGCGCUGCGCUCCACGGUGAAUAGGGACGAUGUGAUACUUGAUAAGAGAUCCAAGUCCACCUCAUUUAAACCAGCGGACGAAAUUGUCAAAUUCCAAGUCCAUCCAACGGACCCUACAAAAAUGGCCUCCAUCGGGGCACAAUUAAAUCCUGAUGUAGACGCCGCACUACGAGAAUUCCUACACGAAAAUUGGGACAUUUUUGCCUGGCACCCUUCAGACAUGCCAGGAGUCCCACCUCGGCUGGCCGAGCAGAGCCUAAACAACCUAAAAGGAUUCAAGCCGGUCAAACAGGUUCUUCGGUGUUUCUCCGAACCCAAGAGACAGGCCAUGGGAGAGGAACUAGCCAAGUUAUUGGAGGCCGGAUUCAUCAGAGAUAUAAAACAUCCGGACUGGCUAGCAAAUCUGGUGAUGGUACCAAAGAAGGACAAAUCCUGGCGCCUAUGCGUCGACUUUAAGGACCUCAACAAGGCUUGCCCAAAGGAUCCCUUCCCCCUCCCCGGCAUCGAUCAAAUUAUCGACGCUACCGCAGGAUACGAUUCAUUGUGUUUCCUUGACGCAUACUCCGGCUACUACCAAAUUAAGAUGGCAGAGCCUGACCAGGCCGCAACGGCAUUCAUCACCCCAUACGGCCCAUUCUGCUUCAACACAAUGCCCUUUGGGCUCAAAAACGCCGGCGCAACAUAUCAGUGCAUGAUUCAGACAUGUCUGGCAAACCAGAUCGGCAAAACAGUGGAGGCAUACGUAGACGAUGUGGUCGUCAAAACCAAGCACGUCGAAACUCUAGUAGACGAUUUGAGGCUCACGUUCGAUAAUCUCCGAACAUAUGACAUUAAGCUUAACCCGGAAAAAUGUGUUUUCGGCGUACCAGCCGGAAAGCUCUUGGGAUUCAUUGUAUCUAGUAGAGGAAUUGAAGCAAACCCAGCCAAGAUCCGAGCUCUGUCACAACUGGAUAUCCCAAAGGACCUCAAACAAAUACAAAAAUUGACGGGAUGCGUGGCGGCUUUAAGCCGCUUUAUCUCCCGUUUAGGAGAAAAGGCAUUACCCCUUUAUCGCCUCCUCCGACGCACCAAACACUUCGAGUGGACGGAUGCCGCCACGGCCGGACUCGAAGAAAUAAAAGCUAUAUUGGCAACAAACCCGGUCCUGGCCGCGCCCAACAUGAGUGAACCAAUGCUAUUAUAUAUCGCGGCAACUCAUCAAGUGGUGAGCGCGGUGCUCGUUGUCGAACGAGAAAAGGACGGACAGAAGUUCCCCCUUCAAAAACCAGUUUACUACGUGUCCACUGUCCUGACUCCAUGCAAGUCACGGUACCCGCAUUAUCAAAAGAUAGCGUACGCGGUGUUCAUGGCAUCCCGGAAGCUACGACACUACUUUCAAGAGUGAUCGAUAACAGUAGCCUCCGAAGUACCUCUUAAUGACAUUAUAAACAACCGCGACGCGACGGGCCAGAUUGCCAAAUGGUCCAUUGAACUCCUCCCGUUCGACAUAACCUAUAAGCCACGGCGAGCUAUUAAGUCGCAAGUUUUGGCAGACUUCGUCGCCGAAUGGACUGAAGCCGAACUCCCUAAAGAGUACGGUGCAUAUUCCAACUGGAUCAUGCACUUCGACGGCUCCAAAAUGUUGUCUGGUCUGAGGGCUGGUGUCGUUCUGGCGUCCCCAACCGGAGAUACGGUUCAAUACGUACUCCAGAUAAUGUAUACGGACUCCAACAACGCAGCCGAAUACGAGGCCCUUCUACAUGGCCUCCGGAUGGCAGUCUCCAUGGGCAUUCAACACCUAGAGGUGCACGGGGAUUCGAACCUCGCGAUAUCCCAAAUAAAUGGAGACUUCAAUGCCAAGGAUCCGAAAAUGGCAGCUUAUCGCAACGCCGUCCUAAAAAUGUCAGCUCGGUUUGAGGGGCUCGAAUUUCACCAUAUAGCCUGGGAUAACAACCAGGCAGCAGACAUAUUGGCACGCAUUGGCGCAAAGCGCGAUACCGUCCCUCCCAACAUCUUCCUAGAAAGACUGUUCAAGCCAUCCGUACUAUGGGAGGGGGAAUCCGGAAAUACCAACCCGGAUCCAACCGCACUGCCCGACACCGAACAUUCUGACACAAUUGGUGGUUCUGCCAACGAAGUAACAUCCUCAGCCCACGUAAUAAUGGCAGUAAUUGCCCCGUGGACGGAACCAUUCCUAGCCUACCUAACCAGGCAGGAACUUCCCGAGGACCAAAACGAGGCCCGCUGCAUAGUGCGGCGAUCUAAAGCCUAUAAGGUCCAUGAGGGAGAGCUUUACAAGAAAAGCACAACCGGAGUCCUUCAAAGGUGUAUCUCCGAAGAGGAAGGGCGGAACCUUCUGGCUGAAAUUCAUGCCGGACUCGGCGGGCACCACGCUGCAGCCCAGGCCCUUGUAGGCAAGGCCUUCCGUUCAGGAUUUUAUUGGCCGACGACCCGGGCAGAUGCUCAGGACUUAGUCCAACGAUGCGUCGGUUGCCAGCUCUUUGCUAAUCAAAGCCACAUGCCACCCACCGCCCUCAAAACUAUACCCAUAACCUGGCCCUUCACGGUCUGGGGGCUUGACAUGGUUGGACCCCUUAAAGGAGGAACCCACAAACAAAAAUACCUACUGGUCAUGGUGGAUAAAUUCACCAAAUGGAUAGAGGCCAAGCCUGUUAAGACGGCCGAAUCCGGACCGGUGAUAGACUUCAUAUCAGGGGUCGUACACCGUUACGGCGUCCCCCAUAGCAUCAUCACUGACAACGGCAUGAACUUUACGGCCGAUGAGGUUAAAAUCUGGUGCAAGAACAUGGGCAUCAAGCUCGACUAUGCUUCAGUCUAUCACCCUCAAACUAACGGUCAAGUCGAGCGAGCAAAUGGUCUAAUCAUGAGCGGCAUCAAACACAGAUUAGUGCGGUCCCUCAAGGAAUCUAACACGCACUGGGUAGAGGAGCUCGACUCCGUACUCUGGGGGUUGCGGACCACUCCGAAUCACACCACCGGAUUUACAACAUUCUUUAUGGUAUACGGCACAGAGGCAGUUCUGCCCUGUGACAUAAUUCAUGACUCACCUCGCGUGCGCAUGUACGAAGAAAGAGAAGCCGAGCUUGAUCGGCAUGACAGUUUGGACGCAUUGGAGGAGGAGCAUGACGUGGCAAAAGCCCGUUCCGCAUUCUAUCAACAGCAAGCUCGAAGAUAUCAAAGCAGAGAAGUACGGGCCAAAACUUACAACGUUGGCGAGUUAGUUCUACGCCUGCCGGACAAGAAAAAGGACAAACUCAAGCCCAAAUGGGAAGGUCCCUUUAUCAUCGACCAAGUCCUGACCGGUGGAGCGUACCGUCCGCGAGAUGCAUCGGAUAACCGACUCGAGCCGAACCCAUGGAAUGCAGCCCGUCUCCGAAGAUUCUACGCCUAGCGCCGGAUUCUGAGUUCGUCUCCUUCCUCCGUCUAUAUUUUACAUAUUAGUUGUCUUCUGUUUCUCUCCUUCUCCCUCCUUUCCAACUACAGCUUUUGAAAGCUUGUUUGCACAUUGUUCGCACACACUUGACGCGCUAUCCGCGCUCAUUAUACCUGGGGGCUUCUUUAACAGAAGCUUAUUCAUACGGGCUUCAUGCCCAAAACAUGUGUCACACUUCCACAUGAACCUUUUAUUCACCAUUAUAUGCAUCGAUAUGACUUAAGUUUUGGCCAAGCUGGGUUGCCUAGCUCCUGUGCUUACCCCUACGUUCCCGAUUGUUCGGCUAGGCGGUAAAGGGAGCACCUCUGCGAUUGUUACUGCCGGGUCAGCCGGAUGUGUACCUCAGACUGGGUGAAGCCGAAAGCUAGCGUUCUUAAGGGAAUAUUCGGUCGGUGAACUAAAAGACGAUUUCUUACCUAUUUAUUUAUCUGCCCCCAGAUGUUUUUCUGCUUUUUUCGCAGUCCGGACAUGCACUUUAGGGCAUGCCUCCCAGGGAAAGGAACCCCUAACGGAACUAUUCUCCCUGGAAGAUGUUUCUUACUAACCAUGUAAUAUAACAUAACUAGUUGGGCACUUGUCUGAUAAAGCAAUAAUGACCCCUAUGCCUGGUCUCCACGCAUGCCCUGGUUCUUAUAUAACCGCGAGGGUAUUCGGACACACUCCGGACUAUUGGGUCCCGAGGUUGAAGCGAAAGGGUCCGCUAUGACAAACGAUCUACAAUCCGGCUAGAAGGCAUUUUACAUGUCAUCUUAAAUUACAUAGUCAACUUGAUUGGGCAUAUUCCUCUUCAAUGCCAUCCAGCAGGUUGUCUAGUUUACAGUCCUAUUGGGAAUACUUUGCGGCCAAUUCUACUUGGCCGUACACUAAGCUCACAGGGAUCUCCUUCCCAUCGGGCCCCGCAGGUCCGACCUUGGCCAUGUGGUUUGGGUCAGCCUUCGUAUACCGCGUCUUCAGCAUGGCCCAGGCCUCCCUGGCGCCUUGACGGCAGGCCGAUAUCUUCCAUAAGCGGAAGCGCUGCCGCGCUCCCUGAAGCCUCUCCGCAAGCUCUCCAAGGCCUUCGGGCAGGGAGACAGACGGCCACAAGGCCUGGGCGACGCCUUUCAUCACCUGCCGAACUCGUUCGUGCAGUUGCAAGAGCUCGGGAAGAAGGUCACCCAUAGAACCGGGCAUUUCCUCUGCAGGACGGCCUGUGGGCAUACCUACAGACAUAACUCUGUUAGUCGACUUCCUCGCCGAACUCUUUUUUCAAAGUUCGUUCAAGCACUUACUAAAAAUGUCGCAUCGAAGCCGCCGAUUCUCCUUAACGGAGUCAGACAGCUGGGCACGAACAUCCUUUAGUUCCUCACCCAGCUGGGUGUUGGCAUCUUGGAGGUUAUUUUUCUCUUGCCUCACCCUUGUAAGCACAUUCUCGCCGGCCUUUAACCGGCGCAUGAGCUGUUGCUUGUCCGGAUCUAUCCCGACGCCAUCUCCAAUAUUAUUGUCAGACUUAUACACACGCCGCACUUCACAAAUUACUCAUCUUUUGAAUCAGAUAUUACCGGAGGGGGUCUCUUUGGCUUCCCCCGCUGCGGCUAGUGCGGCCUCAAGUUGGGCUUUGCACUCCUCCAGCUCCUGGGACAGUUGGGUAUUCUUUUCCGUAAGAUCCUGCACAAUAAAUGGUCCUUAAAUCAGUUAUUCUAACUAUUUCAAGUCUCAGGGGCUACUGGCAUAUAUAACUGUCAAAUUUUCUCACCCGUAUGUCUUUUACAUACUACUCCGUGGCUCUGGCUAGACCAUUUUGAGCGGCACGGAGGUGCGCAUCUCCCGAAUUGAAGGCAUCCAAUGCCUCUGGGGAGAAACAUGCGUCACGAAGAACUCUCCGGCGACGCCUGUGAUUCAUGGCACUCUCCACCUCUGAAUUGGUGGCAGAUAACCUGUCGGCAUCCUCUGUCGGAGGAGCUUCCGAUGCAUGCCUCGUGUUCGCCUCCGCUUCUGGACCUGGCUUUGGAGCCUGGCGAGCGGAGGAUUGAUUGGCAAACUCUCUGGAUAUAGUCCGGCGAGCGCUCUUCUUCCUGAAAAAGCACGAGCGUUAGUAUGCCUCCCCGGGAGUAAAACCUGGGAGCAAGACGACACGCCAUACCGUUGCAUCGGCGUUUCAAUCUGGACUGCACUUCUUUUCGGCCUGUUGGGCCUUCCUGUCCCUUGUUGACUGGCCAUCGCAGGCUUGGCCUUCCGCCUCAAGGACUUCCCCUGCAAAACACCAUUGGUAUACGGUGAUCAAAAACACGCACGGAUGGGUCAUUUUCAAAGUAUUGGAACUUCGGUCUCAGUUACCUGCGAGGCGGGGAGUAUUCCGGGGUAAUCGGCCGUAAUGGCGACCAAGGCAUUAUCGAUGCUCAGUUGGUGGAAUACCCCGUUGAUCAGCUCCACCGAUAAUGUCCGGAUCCUCUUGGGAGGUCGGAUCGAGGAACCAUUCCGGAUCCUCGGGUUGUGGAGGCGGGCUGUUUAUAUCCUUUACGGCCCGGCGCAGUUCCUGCACCGAAAUCACAAAAUGAGAUACUUGAUUAUGGGAGUAUGGAUCGGAUAGGCAAAAAUAAAUGUCUGCUUACCCAGCUUGGAGGAUUGUUCAUAGAAAAUCCGCCCUGCAGAUUGACACGGAGAAAUUCCUCCUCUUCUCCCUUGUACAAUGCGGACAAGAUCUUCAUCAGAUUGGCGACCGAUCCCGGCCCCUUACGGCCGCAGCGGGUGGCAUCAUCCUCCUCGUUGAAAUCCCACAUGGGGUGGCCUCUAUACUGGAGCGGCUGCACCCCCCCGCAUAAUGCAUGUGGCCAUAACCCCAAUCAUGGUCAGUCCGGAAUAAGCUAACAACCUAAUUUGGCUCAUCAGGUAAAGGACGUCCCUGUCAUUUUCCUUCUGAGGGCUCCGUGGACGCCAGCUUAGGCGUUUCUUCAAAGGAGCGUUAUUGAAAUCAGGGAGGCCGAUCCGAAUAGGGUCCGGCAGGGGGACAUCUUCUAUAUAAAGCCAUUCCGAAGGCCAGUCUUCGGACGCCUUCUUCGGGGAUCCGGAUAGAUAUCCGGUCCCGGUGAUGCGCCAUAGUUCGGCUCCGCCCACUUGAUAUAUUGAACCCUCUUGAGAACGGGGCACAAGGCAGAACAGCUUCUUCCACAGCGCAAAAUGGGCCUCGAUGCCCAAAAACAGCUCGCAAAGGGCCACGAAGCCCGCAAUAUGCAAAAUGGAGGCAAGCGUAAGGUUGUGCAACUGGAGGCCGUAGAACUCCAGGAGCCCCUAGAGAAACGGAUGAAUUGGAAAUCCGAGCCCUCUUAUCAAAUGAGAGACAAGGCAUACCCGCUCUCCUUUGGAGGGGCUAGGGACGCUCUUCGCUUGCUUUCCGCCCUUAUAGGUGGCGAGUCCGGCUCGAACCGGAACCAUGAAGGCUGGGGGAAGAAAUCCCUUGGUUUGGAGCAUCACUAACUCGCUGUACGGGACGGAGCAUCUCUCCCAAUCUCCAGGCCAAGGGCUGGGAGGGUGAGAGGAGGAGCCGCGUCGACUGUCCAUGAUGGAAUGGAUUUCUGUCAGAUGCGCUCUGAUGAAUGCUCGCGAAGGGAGGAUGGUGUGAUUCGGAUCUAGAUCCUCGUCUCCUUUAUAGGCAGCUCAUUUGCGCAGCUAGGGGGGUAAAUCUAAAAAUACCCUGACUUUUCGCAUUCGUUCAACACAUGGAAGACGGCCAUUAUUGGGCGUGGAAGCCGAGGAGCGCAAUAUUCACAGGAAGCCGGACGCUAUUCAACAGAUACACAAGAUUUGGAGAAGAACCCGCCUUGCAAUGCCGAAGACAAUCUACGCGCCGGACUCAUCGCCAAUGAAGCCUGGUUCGGGGGCUACUGAGGGAGUCCCGGAUUAGGGGGUGUCCGGAUAGCCGAACUAUCACCUUUCGCCGGACUCCUGGACUAUGAAGAUACAAGAUUGAAGACUUCGUCCCGUGUCCGGAUGGGACUUUCCUUGGCGUGGCAGGCAAGCUUGGUGAUACGGAUAUGUAGAUCUCCUACCAUUGUCACCGACUCUGUGUAACCCUAACCCUCUUCGGUGCCUAUGUAAACCGGAGGGUUUUAGUCCGUAGGACGAACAACAAUCAUACCAUGGGCUAGCUUCUAGGGUUUAGCCUCUCCGAUCUCGUGGUAGAUCUACUCUUGUACUACCCAUAUCAUCAAUAUCAAUUAAGCAGGAGUAGGGUUUUACCUCCAUCGAGAGGACCCGAACCUGGGAAAAAACAUCGUGUCCCUUGUCUCCUGUUACCAUCCGCCAAGACGCACAGUUCGGGACCCCCUACCAGAGAUCCGCCGGUUUUGACACCGAUAGGUACCUCGCCUCCCUGAGCUUCGUGAUAUCCUCCUCACUGACAGAGGAGGCCGUCCACCGGCCCUAAAAGAUGGAUCCGGACAUGGCCUGAGGAUCGAAGCGAUGGGUUGAGCCUUGGGUGUUGGAGCUCGAGGUGAGAGGAGGAGGGAGUAGCGUAGAGGAGAAAGGCGGGUCUCGGCCUCCUUAUAAAGAUGACGAAUAUCAAACGUCCCCUACGUGGCCUUAAAACAUGCCUAUUCCCAAGGAAUCAUACCAACAGGACGGUUGGGUUACCCACGCCCGUUUUGAUGAGAAUCCCGUAAUAAGGGGACAUGAUCUUCGCUUCGACAAGACGUGUCAAUAAAACCGCCUCGUGAAAUGUGGUGCAGCAUGCCGGAAAAGCGAUUCGAAAUAAUGACUGAACGAUGACGUAACUCGUGUUGUAAAAGCUGUUAGCGGAUAGGACUCGUGAAAACAUUAUACUCUCCACGGUGGCAUAUGGAAUUUGUUUUGCAGAGCCAGACAUAAUUCUUGUGUUCAAGAUCUACUUUGAAGUAUUCGGAGAAGGAACCCGCCUUGCAAUGCCGAAGACAAUCUGCGCGCCAGACUCAUCGUCAUUGAAGCCUGGUUCAGGGGCUACUGAGGGAGUCCCGGAUUAAGGGGUCCUCGGACAACCGGACUAUAUACUUUGGCCGGACUGUUGGACUAUGAAGAUGCAAGAUUGAAGACUUCGUCUCGUGUCCGGAUGGGACUCUCCUUUGCGUGGAAGGCAAGCUUGGCGAUUCGGAUAUGAAGAUUCCUUUCCCUGUAACCGACUCUGUGUAACCCUAUCCCCCUCCGGUGUCUAUAUAAACCUGAGGGUUUAGUCCGUAGGACAACAACAAUCAUAACCAUAGGCUAGCUUCUAGGGUUUAGCCUCUUCGAUCUCAUGGUAGAUUAACUCUUGCAAUACUCAUAUCAUCAAGAUCAAUCAAGCAAGAAGUAGGGUAUUACCUCCAUCGAGAGGGCUCGAACCUGGGUAAACAUUGUGUCCCAUGCCUCCUAUUACCAUUAGCCUUAGACGUAUGGUUCGGGACCCCCUACCCGAGAUCCGCCGGUUUUGACACCGACAGUGGCACCAGCAGCGGGAGCCCCCUUGUUCAACCGGGCAGAAACACGGGUUGGCAUAGGUGCUUGUUUCUGCUUAACUGAUCGUCCACCAGCUGUCACCUCACUACACGUACAAAAAGAUGGCAAAAGUGAGCAAAAAAUGCAAAAUAUAAAAUGUGUGAGCCACAAAAAUAUUGGCGCACAUAGAAAUGAAAAAAAGUAGGGUUGUUAAAAAGGAAGAACAAAUAAAAUGCUAAGUAAACAUCAAACCUCCUCCUAGCAGCUAUGGGAUCAGCCCUACACCUCUUCCCAACAUUGCCUUAGCCAGCAUCCUCUGGAGCCCUGCCCCUCUUUGAGAGCGAAACCCCCGUGUCUCUCACAAUAGUUGGGUCAGUGCCUUCCUCUGGUAGAGGAACUUUCGGUGCAGCCUUAUCGUUCUUACCCCCUACACGAACUUCGUGAUGUUCAUCGUGGUCAUUAUCAUGCGGCACAUUCUCCAUGUCAUCGUCGCCGUCCUUUUCGAGACCAGCAUCCACGCCACCAAAAUUAUCCCCAUCUAGCUCAUCUUGCGUGUCAGGGAGCUCCUGAGAGCUGUUGUAGUCAUACCGACCACGGCAACAAGUUGGACGAUGUGUCCGUUCUCUAAUAAAUGAUGUGAAGUGCCUUGCAACCGCGUCACUAUCAGAACCAUUAAGUGUUGUCCAACCCUCGACCAACUUCCGUCAUGCCGGAAGCAAACUACCCAACUAGGUGCUCAACAGGUGCCCUCGCCUGAAAAGUGACAAACUACAAAACAUAUUAGAGACACGUGAUUAGGAAAAAUAAGGCAGAACAACCAUAAAAGAGCAAUCAAAUGCAAUAAAAAAUAAUUUCAGUAAACAAAUAAACAUGCUUGACUACCUCAGCGGGACAAGAUGGAGCUGAAUGCACAUCCAUCCACUUGCCAAAGUUUUGUGGCCCACCAAACACACUGUAGUCUAUAGCAUGCUUGGCCAUUAGCUGAAAAAUAGCAAAAACAACUAAAGAUGUCAAAAGAAAAAUAAGAAGCAGUGGCUACAAUCAUGGAUUGCAAGGAAAAGAAGGAGUUUCGACGGGGAACAGCGGAGUUGUCGUAUGGAGACAAAUAUGGUUGCCAUGUGCAUUCAACCAUGGUUGCCAAGUUCUUUAUGACUUGUUAGCCAUAAUGAAAGUGGUUAGGUGGUGUAAACAAGACACUACUAACCUGCAGUUUCCCAUAUUUUGUAUCAGAUACCCUAUCUGCAGCAAGUACAACCUUGACAGCAUCAUACGUCCACACAGAGACAGCAAACUUAUGUGGAGGCGGCGGGCCUCCUAUCUCACUAAAGUCGACAGUGGACAAAUCAAGACUAUCAACGUACAUGAGCUGGUUUGCACAAUAAAGCGAGCAAGUAAAUCAGAAUAUGACAAUGAUCAAAUUUGUGCAAGAAAAAGGAAACAUGUAGAAAUGCGGGGAAAAAGAAAAGGAAAUGACCAUGGUUUAAACGUCAUUGGUAGUACAAUGUCCCUUGAGUCACAAGUUUUUUAAAAAAAGGAAAGAAAAGAUUUUCCAUCUAUCUAUGUUGUUAGUUUCCACCUAUCUAUGUUGUUGGUUGACAUCAUGUUAUGUUGGCAGUUGUCGUGUUAUUAUAUUGUUAGUUGCCACCAGUUCAACAUGGUAGUUGCCGUCCAGAUUGUAUAAAGAGAAAUGAACAUAGAAAGUGAUAACUAUGUGUAUUAUAGCUAGAAAAAAUGAAAUUGCCUUGUAUACACCAACUACAGUUGCCAUGUAUCAAACAAACUUCACUUUGACAUGAAAAAGUCACAAACAAAAUAUAACAAAGGGUUGCCAUGCACGAUCGACUAUGAUUGCCAAAAAUCAGAUAAAAGCUCUGUCAAGAACUAUGGGUUGUCAAAUUAUGACCAAACAGAGAUACCAAAUGCAAAACAAUUCGGUUGCCACUUAUGAACAGCUGCAAUGUUGAUUUAUGAAAUAAUGAACCGUGCUAAGAGCAUUUGCAUAAAGAGUAGGGGAAAAUACCAUUAGGUGCAAGCAACAUCCCUUUUGGUACAUCAUAGUUGAGAAUGCAUCAUUCAGGAAGUCGGCAAUGAAUUUACACCAGUUCAUGUUUUAACAUCUUUCAGCUUCGCCUGCACAAACACAAUUCGGGACAAAAAGAUACUGCAUCGGCAUUCAAUAAAAACAUGAAAAAUGGCAAUGACUAACUUCUACAUGACAUCAAAAAUAAAAGAUUGUAUGUAAAAGAAUAGAGAGAGAGCAUUCACCAGGAUAGGGGAGCACUUGUUGCUUGGGCGGAGAGAUGUGGUAGGCGCAAAUACAGCCGAGAUCAAGUACAUGAGCAGCUUCAUCUUAAAAACCUCGCCAUGGGUUGUCAUCCCCUCCAGCGAAGUUGCUAGCACAGUCGUAUUAGGCAUGGAUGCCAUUCCAGGAAACAAACGGGCAAACCAAGCUUCCUCAAUCUUAUUGUUCACCUCAUAAGGGACUUCGAUUUCUCCACGGGGGACACCCAAAGUGCAGAACACAGAUUCCUCAUUCAAAGGCAGUCUUUCACGUCCCGGAAUCAUGAAUUCCCUAGACGCAGGCUCAUAUAUCUCACCGAGCCAGUCGCAUACAGGGUUUACUAGGUUCGUGCACCGAACCUUCAUCAGAGCCUGCAUACCCAUCUCACCGGCAGCUCCCUUCUGCUCAUCAGUAAAUCCCUUUGUCAGUAUAGUCAGGCGUUCUUGCGAAGCCCUAUUGCGCUGACGCUUCUUCUUCUGCAUAACACAAAAAGGAUCAUUUGUUGCCAUAUUUCAAUGUAGUAAAAAUUAGUUCUAACAGAAGAAUGAAAGCUCAGUAUCAAAUUAAAACAUAGGGGGAGAGUGACCUCAUCGCCACGAUUCCGUGGCGGUGGCUCCAUGAAGUCAUCAUCAUCAUCUUAAUGGUCACCACAAGCCAUAUCUGCUACGGUAAGAGCAAAAACACAUUAGUGUGAAAUGAAAACACAUCCGACAAAUGUGGAAAGUGAUACACGAAGUAACGAAUCACUGGAUAUCAUUAAUAACAAAACAGAAAACUGCCAUAUUUACCCCAAAGUUUUAGCAUGCGAAAGGAUGUAAUUGCCAUGUGCUCAACAUGCACAAAAAGGCAAAAAAAAAUAACCAACGGAAAAACAGGUGCAAAAACAUGGCAACUCGAUAUGUGUGUGCUUCUUAAGAAUGCAGUUGCCAUGUAGGAGAUUCAAUUUUCCAUGUUGGUAAAAUAAACAAUGUGGCAACUGAGGUAGUACAGUGAAACACCCAACUACCAUUGUCCAACAUGCAGUGUGGCAACUAACACAUUGGCUUAAUAAAAGCAUAGGCCACAACUACUAGGUUCAAGUUGCCAUGUUAACAAACAAAAAGAUGUGGCAACUAAGGCACUGAUUGAUUGAUUGAUUCAGUUGUUCGGAUGUACACAACCAACGCCAUGGGAAUUAAUGUGUUUGUUGGCUACCAACAAUAUAUGACAAGAGAAGAGAAGAGAUCAGAUGGAUACAUACUCUGCUUUGAGAACUCUGAAUAUAUACUCUGCUCAGUGGCGGAGCCAGAAACUAAAUAUAGAGGGGGCCAAAACAUGUCAUAUAAUGUUAGAGGGGGCCAAAUCUCCUAAACAUAGCUAAUUUUGUCUGACAAAUGGAGGAUUAGGAGUACAUAUAUGUGUAUUUAUGAGAGCAUAGGGGGGCAAGGCCCCUGCCAGCACCCCCUGCCUCAUCCACUGACUCUAAGUUGCUCUACUCUGAAUAUAUAUAGUGCAGAGUGUGGAUGAGAAAAUCAUGAAGAGCAGAGUGUGCUAGUCCACAACAUAUAAUGUGGCAACUCACACAUUGGCCUGGUAAAAUGUACUGCAAUCAAAUAUGUUGUGAUAUCACAAAACAGCAUGGCAACGAAGUGAGUACAUGGUACAUACAAACUGCGAUUACUCUACAUAUGACAUGGCAACUGUCAUAGUUGAUUUACAAAAUUAGUUGCCACUUAGAAGGAUAGUUGUAGGUAAACAAAAUGCAAUGAAAUUGUCGUGACUGCCAUUAUCCCGCACUUAAAUAUGCAUCUACUUAGAUAUAGGGAUCAUACACAACUAUCACUCCCUGAGUUUGGAUCUCAUAAACUUCAAUUAUCCUACACAGGACAUGGCAACUGACAUAGUUGAUUCAGAAAAUUAGUUGCCAUCAAUGAGAAUAGUUGUGGAUAAAACAAGUGUGUUGAAAUUGCCAUGACUGCCAUGAUCCUACACAUUGAAAUGCACCUAACUAGAUCUAGGGUUCAUACACAACUAUCAUACCCCUCAAUUCAAUAGCUAACAUCGCCCUAAAAUAGUGAAGAUCAUAGCCAUCGAGACAAAUCACAACUAACAAUUAGAAACGGAAUCGCUCACGCAUGUAAUUGCAGGAAUCUAAUCUCUCGUACAUAGAGAGGUGGUUGCCGACCGGCCGAGCCUCACCGGCUUGACUACCACCGCGACGGCAACGGAGCUGCACAAUGCCGCCCUAAAAUGGCACGCGCGCGACUCCCCCGCCGACGGGGACGCCGGAGCGGCCGCAAAUCCGCCUGAAUCUCGGGAGGGCUCGAGAGGAAUGUGACCAAGGAGGAAGGGGGACAUUACAGAAGCUUCGACUGCCUUACCUUCUCGCUGCGGCUGCUCCGGCGACGACGCUCCGGUCCCGCGAACACCAGCAACGGCCGCGAAUGCCGUCGACUCUUCCGCCUCCUCCUCUCGUCUUCUCCUUCAAUCGAAUGGAACUGCCUAUGGAUGGUUGGUUGGGAAGUAAUGAAUGGGAUGGGAGAAACCGCAGACGCACUGAGGAGGAAAUGGCCAGUCGAGGGAGACAGGGACAGAAGUCGUGCGCCACGAGUGCAGGCGCGACGGCAGUUCCACCGCACGCCCUGACUCACAACUAGUGACGGCCGAGGGAGAAACGGCGUGCGGGCGAACUGACGAAGACACCACACAUCGGCAUUGUCCUACGUGGCAACCAAAAACUGCCUCAUCGCGCCAAGAUCCGUGCAAUUUUGAAUCGACAGCGAUCCAGGCGUGUGGGCGGGUUGGAGAAGUGUGUGGGCGGGUUGGAGAAAUUCCACACGUGUGGGCGUUAGUCUUUCCGUAGAUUUGUUAGUCUUUCCGUAGAUUUAUUUCUUGAUUCUGACUUGUCUUCUUCACCUGACAUGAUGUGCUUGGUACAACAAAAGUCCAGGUUGACGAAAAGGAUUCUUUGUUUGGCAUCUUUGUUCUAUUGUACGAUGUAUAUGCAUGUUCACAGAGACGCUCUGAACCAUCUAAGAUAAGAUAAGGUGUUUUCACGAUCUGUGAUACUAUUCCUAGGUGGUGAAACGACAUAAUUGCGAUCUUUAGCCCAAGGAAUAGUGCAACAGAUUGCUUCAAACAUCGUGGGUGCUCUAGACAUGCAUGCUCUUAUGAUUGGAGAAAAGACUGCCAUCAUGAUUGCUAAUGAAAUGCGUGAAGAUGGCAAGGAAUUCCACGGCACCUAGUUACAGAACGAUCCACAACGAACCCCACCAAGCAACCAUCAUAAUGUUUUUUUCUAGAAAGCAGCCAUUUCUAGAAGGCAGCCAUAAAGUUGGUGAACCAGGGGUAAUCAUAAUAACAGCUACAACAGAAUUGUACAAACGGAGAAAAUUCUUCGACAUGGCAGAAGGAAUGGGUUUUGCUUUUGCGUUUAGUUAUCUCCCCAUGCACGCUGGCGACACAGUUUCUUCUUAAUCCAGCUUCUCAAGUUCACCCAUUCUCUCUAUAAUCGCCUGAAGAAAACACAAGUGAUGUCAAGCAGCAUCUGAGUUCUCCGUACAGACAAAAACAGUAUCUUAUCAUUUUCCAUGUCAAGUUUGGCGUCCCACAAGCCCUCAGAAGACAAGGUGUAAACAAGAAAGCCUCGAUGUAAACACAGAUGGAGUACAGAGGGAGUACUUUCAAUCAAACCGUACUUUUGCUUAUUGUUCAUUCUGUGAUGAUAUAAUUAUAAUACAGAUACAACUGUAGUGUUACUGUACUUUAAGAUGCAUCUUACAAAUAGGGGGAUUUAGUAUCAGAGUAUGUCGACUCAGCACAAAAUGCAGUGUAACAAAACAUUCUAAAAAUCGUUGUCGGUGCUAACAAGAUAGCUAGGGAAUUAAGCCACUAAAAAUGUGUGCAGUACAAGAAUAAAGGUGCUCUACCCGGCCAACUACAGAAUGGGAUAAACACAUUUGAAGCUAUUCAAAUGUAAUAGUGGCGCAAAAGAAAUACAUUUGCCAGUCAUAUAGAUAUACCGCACAUGAACAAAAUACAUUUGACAUUCCCCAAAUGUGAAAAAUUUGCUAGCGCUUUGUUUGGAUGUCUGUAUUGGAGGCCUCCGUAUUGAAUUGGUUUCAAUACCAAUUCGGCAUGGAAACUGUAAUGG